rnacentral:misc_RNA from 1 species
AGGCCCAAUUCUUUCCAAACU